CUGAAAAGCAAGAAGCAGCUCCUGUUAAUCUGGCUGCAAAUUUUCUGAAGGCUUUUUCCUCUAUUCAAAGAGAAUGUUCAUUGAAACUGAAGCAUGUGGAAACCCACUGAACCUUCGACAAAUUUCUCAUGUGGAUAAUGUAAAGGCCCUGCACAUACACAGAGGCUUAGACUCAGGGAUUUAUUGCUGGGUGUCCAAAUAAUGUCUGGGUAGACCUUGAAUUCAGAGCUGGUCCUGCAAAUAAGCCCAGAUUACAAAAAAAAAUUGUUCAAAGUACAUGCUUAGUUCCGAGGUGCCAGUAUUUCCCCUUCUGCUGGUCUUCUUCCCUCUCCGCAGUCGCUGUCGAUGCAUUACUAAUUUUGAUGCGGUAGCAUUUUGCACUCACAUUUCCGAUGGCAACGCAAAGUGCAAGGCAGCAAGAAUUAGGCCUGCGAUACUCUGGGAGUCUCGUGACAGUCAGGAGCGGAUGCAAUUUGGAUUCCACCCCCUCUCCUCGGUUCCCUUUGCACAGGACGUUCCUCUCAGACGCCGUUGGUGCGCGGCAGGUCUGUCCUGUUCCCAGCAGCAUCUCCCAGCGCCACCUGUGAACCUGACGUGAAACCCAAGGAGUCACGGGAGGAACACACACAAAGAAUUUAUUCAAACUGCAAUAUUUCCACCCCUUUUUUUUGGGUUUGGUUUCUUUUUUUCCCCUCCUUCUUGGCUUGUACUUGGUUGUCAGAGUUGUCUGGAAGUGAUCACUGCUGUAAGCAGUAGGUGUGUGUGUGAAUCUCCCUCCUGUCCUCAGCUCCCGACCGUGGGUCGCUGAGGAUUGACACCGCUGGCAGGUGACAGCUUGGGGCAGAGGCUGCAUGCAGAACAAUGUGGCUGAGCACAGGGAACAGCGUGACAGAGAGGCAGGAAGGAUCAAACAGCUAUCAGAGAUGCUGGAGGGGAGGGUUUAAUGACAAGUUACUCUGACAUUUAUGACCGGAUCGAUUAUGAAGACUGAAAAAAAUCCAUGGUAUAUUUCCAGGGUAUUACUGUAGAGCCAUCUGAUAUGGGGGUUGCCAUGGCAAGUACAGAUUUUCUAUUAACCAGGAAGGUGAAUAGUCUCAUAAAACCCAUGAAACUUGUUGGUUUCAUAAAUUGCAUACAGGAAGCAGCUCUAUUGACCCCUAUGGAAAUUUAAUAUUUUCAAACAAUGCUGUAAAGUCUUUUCCUUGGUUAUUUUUAAAAAAAAACAGUCUGGGUUACUGUCAAAAUCAAAUGCACCAUUUCUGGUAUUCCCCAUGUCUUGAAUGACAGCCUAGACAGAUUGGAAAAUCAGCAUGGAGCUAAAAAUACCAGUGUGGAGGAAGCAGGGUAGGAGAGUAAGUUACUGAAUACUGCUAAAUAGGACUGUGUCUACAGCUUUGAUAAUUGGUAAGGUUAAGAUCUUCAUCAUCACAACCUGAGGACUAAAACAAAUAUAUGUGCACUGUUUAAUGCUUGAUUACAUAAUUUGUGACAAAUAUUUCAGAAGACCAGUUAGAAAAGGAAAAAACAUUAUUUUUCGUGCAGAUUGGAUAAACUAAGCAAAGGAAAUCUCAUCAAGAAUCAUCCAUAUUUCAUUCCAUCCCCCCAGUGCUGUAUGCACAUAGAAAAGAAUCCCUUUUUUUAUGUAUUUUAACCACACAGAAACAAUCCAAGGGUAGAAGGAACAGGUUGACCAGAGAAUUUGUGCCUGCCCCAUCCCUGGGAGUGUCCAAGGCCAGGUUGGAUGGGGCUUGGAGCACCCUGGGGUAGUGGAAGGUGUACUGCCCAUGGCAGGGGCUUGGAACAAGAUAUCUUUAAGGUUCCUUCCAACACAAAUAAUUCUAUGAUUCUGUACUUCUGUGGGAGGGUAAACUGGAAUUGUCUUCCUUAGGCCCAGACAUGUCAACACAAAACUUGCUGUGAGGUGCUGGCGGUAGCAGAACGGCAGGAACAUACCUGUGCCUUUGCCAUCUUCUGUAUAGCAGACUGCUGCUUUCUUUCACAGCAAUUUUGGUGUGCAGCAGAACAAUGAAGUUGGUGCUAGCAGUAGAACAAUCAAGUUGUUACUAAAUGCUUUGCUUUCAGUGUUUCUCACAGAGUAUAAACUGAUCAGUAAUUGAUGAGCUUGGGGAAGUCUAGAUGAAUACAGAAAAUUCAUUGGUAUUUCACUGGGCAACUCUCUUGUUUGGUGGCAAGCAUUUCUGCAAAGGGUCAGGUCAGAUGCUGACAGUCCAGCAGGAAAUGUGUUGCAGCUAUGGAUGCACGAUGUGAUAGAGUAUGUUCUUUACAUAAAGAAAGGCAAAAUCAUCAGUUGUGUCCCACUGUUCCUGUUUCUCAUUCAUGUCUGCUUUGACUUCUCCUUCCCUGUCUCUGAUCCUG